rnacentral:antisense_RNA from 1 species
CCUCCGGGCGGGCCUUGGCAGGGGAGCCUGAGGGCUCGCCGGUUUAUAUGUGGCCGGUCUGUCAAUCCUGCUUCGUGCCCGCCCACCCC